AAGGUUAACAAAAUUAAGAGUGAAUUGAACCAAAAAGUUCGGAUAAAAAAUGUUUAUAAAUGAUUAAAAUAAAAAUGAAAAAAUAAAAUAAAAUGAAAAAUAAAAGAAAAUAUGAAUUAAAUGCAAAAAUAAUUUUAAAAAAAAUGCAAAAAAAAUGGUAUGUGAUAGAAAAUAUUUUUCUGGAAUUAUGGAAAAAAAAUUGAAUCAAAAAAUAUUUUUAUGGAUUGGCCAAGGAUUUGAAUUUUCCCACUGAAGUGCC
rnacentral:lncRNA from 1 species